rnacentral:rRNA from 1 species
AACGAACGCUGGCGGCGUGCCUAAUACAUGCAAGUCGAGCGCGAAAAGGGCAACCUGAGUAGAGCGGCGCACGGGUGCGUAACACGUGGGUAAUCUGCCUUAGAGUCGAGGAUAACCUUCCGAAAGGUUGGCUAAUACUCGGUAAGCUUACGGUGUCUUCGGACGCUGUGGGAAAAGUAGGCCUCUGUUUACAAGCUUACGCUCUGAGAUGAGCCCGCGGCCCAUCAGCUAGUUGGCGGUGUAACGGACCACCAAGGCAACGACGGGUAGCUGUUCUGAAAGGACGAUCAGCCACACUGGAACUGAGACACGUUCCAGACUCCUACGGGAGGCAGCAGUGGGGAAUUUUCCACAAUGGGCGAAAGCCUGAUGGAGCAACGCCGCGUGUGUGAUGAAGGUUUUCGGAUCGUAAAGCACUUUCGACUGGGACGAAAAACCUUUGGCUAACAUCCAGGGGCCUGGCGGUACCAGGAGAAGAAGCACCGGCUAACUCUGUGCCAGCCGCCGCGGUAAAAC